GAUGAAGAACGUAGCGAAAUGCGAUACGUAAUGUGAAUUGCAGAAUUCAGUGAAUCAUCGAAUCUUUGAACGCAUAUUGCGCUCUCUGGUAUUCCGGAGAGCAUGUUUGUUUGAGUAUCAGUAAACACCUCAACUUCCAUAUCUUUUUUGAAAUGGGAGUUGGACUUGAGUGAUCCCAACGCUUUUCCUCACCGAAAAGUGGCGGGUUACUUGAAAUGCAGGUGCAGCUGGACUUUUCUCUGAGCUAUAAGCAUAUCUAUUUAGUCUGCCUAAAAACAGAUUAUUACCUUUGCUGCAGCUAACAUAAAGGAGAUUAGUUCUUGUGCUGACUGAUGCAGGAUUCACAAAGACAGGCUUCGGCCGACUUUGUAAACUCGAUCUCAAAUCAAGUAAGACUACCCGCUGAACUUAAGCAUAUCAAUAAGCGGAGGA
rnacentral:misc_RNA from 1 species